ensembl:lncRNA
ACUUUCCCCAUCAAAUCAUUCUGACCAAGCUUUUUAUAUAGGCUAUAUUUAUAUAGGCUAUUUUUUGCCGCCUUUAUAAAAUGUACAAUUGCGUUUUCUUUCUGAAAUACAUUUGAGUAAACAAGAAAAACCCCGGAAACUGAAUGAAGUAUUAAAGAAAGACUCAACCAGGAGCCAGAAAGCCCUGCGAUCCAACAGAAUUGAUAUAUCAGACCAUUUCAGCUCAGGCUUCACACAUUACUUGCCCAUCGCUUGACGUCCAGUCCAUCAGACGGGACAAAUACAGGUCCGGCUCUCUCUUCCAUGAGUAUCCUCGUCCUUUGCCAUCUCCUGGAUUGUGUCCAGACCAGGCUUGACUUCCCGGCCUUUUCUAUGGGUUGCCCUCCCCCUUGUUGGCGGCCUUCCACCUGUCGAUGUCUUUUAGAGGCCUGGGUCUCUCCUGGACCUCCUGUUGGCAGGCCUCAGUGCUCUGACAGACCAGCAGCCUGUGAAAUCACACCUCUCAGCUGUUCACACUGCACUCCGGACAUCCAAUCUCAAUGGCUUCUUCAAAAAAGGAGGCGAUUCUGGGGGCAGGGUGGGCUAAAAGACAACUGCCACCCGCUUUUAUUGGGACAGCAUGACAGAAAAUGUUUUCUGGGGCACAGCUGACAAAGAACUUCAUGUUUUUGGUGUUCACUCUGGGGCUUUGGAUGUGUUGGAUGAAAGCUGAGAAAACGUAAGAGCAGGACAUGAUGAAUGUUUUACUGACUUCAUGCACAAGAAAGUGCUAAAGACUUCCAGAGCUCAAACACAAGUGACAGCUGACAGGAGUAGAAACCAGCUAGUCAACUCAUACUGACAAUGAAUACAUGCUCAUGAUCAUAUUAACC